AGGAGCGUGACUUAGUGGUUUGUGUGCUGGACUAAAACUCUGGAGAUCAGGGUUCAAGUUCCGGCUCAGCCA